AGAACCACAGACUCUGGACUUUAUAAAGUACAGAUCAUCAGCAGCAGCAGCAGCUUCAGUAUUAGAAGGAGUAGGAGUUUCAGUGUUACUGUCACUGGUUCAGGUCCAUCUCUAGCUGCUGUAACAGGAAUAUGUGCUGCUGUAGUUAUUCUGCUCGUAGCUGCUGGUGUAAUUUACUAUCUUGAGCAAAAGAAAGGCAGGGGGGCGGAGCGAAAUCAAGUUCAGGAGAAUCCUAUAAAAUACUCACCCGUUAGUCAGGCUGAGGCUGCUGCUAAUGACGCGUCCCAUGAAAAGACUGAGACUGCCACUGAAACACCACCGUAGCAUUAUUUAUUAAUUUAUUUUUCUUGAAAGGGACAGUGAAGAGACGAUGGGAAAUGAGGAAAUACGGAUCAAACUCACUCAAACGGUAGUCCACGUUUUUUCAGUUACAUAAGCUUCCAAAAAGCCAGUUAAGCAGUAAACCAGCAAUAAACUAAGAAACAAAGCAGCACGUUACCAGCAGCAGAACAGCGAGUGCUUGAGGUUUUCAGUAUGUAAA